GAUGGGCCCGCGUCGGAUUAGCUAGUUGGUGAGGUAACGGCUCACCAAGGCGACGAUCCGUAGCUGGUCUGAGAGGAUGAUCAGCCACACUGGGACUGAGACACGGCCCAGACUCCUACGGGAGGCAGCAGUGGGGAAUAUUGGACAAUGGGCGAAAGCCUGAUCCAGCCAUGCCGCGUGAGUGACGAAGGCCUUAGGGUUGUAAAGCUCUUUUGGCGGGGACGAUAAUGACGGUACCCGCAGAAUAAGCUCCGGCUAACUUCGUGCCAGCAGCCGCGGUAAUACGAAGGGAGCUAGCGUUGUUCGGAAUCACUGGGCGUAAAGCGCACGUAGGCGGAUGUGUCAGUCAGGGGUGAAAUCCCGGGGCUCAACCUCGGAACUGCCUUUGAUACAGCACGUCUUGAGUCCGGAAGAGGUGGGUGGAAUUCCUAGUGUAGAGGUGAAAUUCGUAGAUAUUAGGAAG
rnacentral:rRNA from 1 species